CAGGGGGUGGCGGGGUGAGUGUGUGCCUCUGUCGGCCCUGCCCAUGUGGGUGGACUCUUAAAGGCAACAUCCUAUGCCUGAAAGGAAGCUACUGCUGUAGUCUGGGAAGAAGCGAGAGGGCCUGAAAGAGCCAGAGUUGAAGAGGAAAAGACAGAGAGGACUAAGGUCGACGUGACUUGCCUAAGGUCACAGAGGUGGUGAGUGGUGGAGUUGGAAUCCACAUGAAUCUUCUAUAGGAACCCCGGCCCAACUACAGACAUGCCCAGAUGAGCACACCAGUGCCUGGAGAGGAAAAAUCUGGAGAGGCCUUCCACAUGGCGAAGAGAAAGGGAAAAGAGUUUUGAUUUCUGUGCCUAUUAACCACUCUGACAGAAGGUUUUGUGAAGAAUGACGUUGAAGCUCUUGGUAGAAGUUAGAAAAAACAGUCUAGUUACAAGAACAGCAGAAAAAGACCUGAACUUCAGAGUGGACCACAAACCAAUAGGAAUUAAGAACACAGCUCUCUUUUCAAAAGCCAAUGCAAAAUGAGGAUGUGUUUAUGCAAGAGCAGCUGUUGUUACCCUGGGCUUAUGCUCGACAUUCUUUCAUAUGUCACGGUCAGACCUAGGAAAUUCCCUGGGAAGUCCCCUCCCUCCCAGUGCCUGCAGUUUCUCCCUUGGAGUAUAAUGCUGUUGGAUCUUGAGAGAUCUUUUGAUCUUCAGGAAGCUGUUAUCACAAAAUGGAUCUUCCUGGAGUGAGGAGACAGCGUGGUACACCGGGAGACGAAGGCAGUGGACUGCGGAAUGGGAAUCUGGGUCCCAAUGUCAGUUCUCCCACCACCUGCCUGUGGCUUUAGGAAAGGCCUGUUCCUUCCCUUGCCUCCAUGGCUUCAUCUGUCCAAUGGAGUGACAUGGAGAUGAUGAAAGUAUGGUUCCUAGUUUCCAAAGAUCUUUUCCUAAUGACUUUUGCGGCAUCCCCCAAACAAGGCCAUGAGGACGAUAGAGAAGAUGCAGACAUCUCCAUGUUACAAAGGAGAAAGUGCGACUCAGAGAAGUCAAGUGACUCAGCCAAAGUCACACAGCUGAAUUCGAGCAGAGCAAGGGCCCCAGGUGGCUCAUGCUAGAGGUGAAGACCUUCGUAUUCUCCUAGUUUCUCUUAUAAUAAUGUCACCUCCUGGAGCGAGCAAGUCCUGGCUGAGACACAACGGCAUCUAGAAACAGUCCUGACUAUUUGAGAACUUCUUCCUCUGUGGUGAAAAACUGAACCGGCCUGCCCCAUUUUCCCAACCACCUCACGACUCGAAGAGCAAUUGCUUUAGCUCUGACAAAAUUAGGCCACCUCCGACCUAAAUGGAGCCCAUUUUCAGAGUAAGACCCUGCGUGGAGACAGCUCUUUCCUGGAAGGAUAACAAAAGCAUGCUUUUGUGUGUAUUUCACUUGAUGGAAAGGAAUCCCCAGCGAGGCCAUUUUUUCCCCCUGAUUUCUCCCAAGUCCAGAAUGUAUCCAAGUUUCCAAGAUAAUCUCAGAAGAGCCAUUCGUCUACGAAGAUGGCCAAAUUGUCUUCCAGCUCAGUAGACAGGGUGUGUUUGAGAGACAAGGUGAGGGGGUGAGAAUAGGGGUGUGGGAAGAGGGUGAGGGAGCUUGAUAGCAAAGGAGAAAAUGUGUCGCCGACAAAUGCUGACGGAAGACGAAAGAAACCAAAGGGCCAGCCCCGACUCUGGGGUCCCCUCUGCCAGGGACAUUUUCAGCUCAUUCUUUUCAGGACCUGUCACAGUCUGCCUGGCGAGCCGUCACUUCUCAUCACUGGGCUCUCACUGAGGAUCUUUGUGUCAUCACUGUCAUGAAGAGACCUGGCAACUGGCAAAGAAUUUCCUGGGGCGCUACCCGAUACACCAUUAUUCGCCUCUUAUCAUCUUAGCAGAGUAGUUACGCCGCUGUCAGAGGUAAUGGAGACCAUGCCACUAAGAAAAUUGGCUGUAAUUUAUUUAUCAAUUGUUCCUGCAUACCACAAAAGCGGCCUUCUACUUUAUGGCUGGGUCUAAGGUAUUUGAGAGCUCCCGAAGUUCAUGGUUUUCCGGUAUUCUAAGUUCUACUUAUGGCCUUUCCUGUAUAUGACACACAACACCACCCUUGUGGCUUGCAGGCCGUUUUCUUCUUUGCUUUCUUUAGUCACAAAUCAUCCUGAGGCAUCCCUUAAGUGCAUUUGUAUUGUUAAGUGCACCGGCUUGAUUUGGUGUUAAUUCAAUUUGAGUGCCCUUAAUAUCUUGUGGGGGUGAUGCAAUGCAGGCCGCCUGUACCUUGUAAAAUCGGGUCCCAGGUCUGCCUGGGAGCAAAGCACCUUUCCCAUAGCCAUUUACCAAAGUUGCUGAUAAAAUUUUCAUAAGGGAACCUUUUUAGUCUGACCCUAUUGUGUUAUUCUACCAUUAAGCCUCGGAGAACUGAGCUGGCUUCUAGUGACAGCUUAUCACGCUCUCCAUUAUUGCUGCCUGCCCCAAGAGCUAACUGGCUGGGUGCAGUGCAACUCGCUCCCUCCCUCCCGCUUCUGGUCCAUUCUGGGAAAAGCUUAUGGGCCAGCACCUAGGGGCUAAUGUGCAUUCGUCUCUCUCUGGGUGCCAAGGAGCCGAGCUCUCUUCCUGAUGAACUGGCUCCCCUUCACCUUGGGAAGCUUGGGAGGCCCUGCAGGACUUUUGGAGCAUGAUUAGAAAGGCAGAAGCGAACGGCAGGCCGAAAUAGAGUAAGAGUUACAGAGCACUUUACUUAAAACUCAACCCCAGAAGCAGCGAUGAUGAUGCCAACAGCAGUCUGACACAUAGCUUGUGUUAGAGGAUUAGGCCAGGCAUUUGACUCUGGAAUAUUGGCGUUAGAAAUCUAGCAACAUAAUUAACUCAAAAAGAACUCCAAAAUCCAGGGUCAGAUGUACCUGGGUCUGCAGCCGAGCUCAACAGCUCACCUGCUUCAUGCCCUUCAUCAGGUUAUUUAGUCUUGGAGCUUCAGGGUUCCCAUCUGUGAAAUGGGAAUAUCAACAUUUACCUCACGGGCUUUUUAUGGUGAUUAAGGGAGACAACACAUGCGAAGAGCCUGGAGAGUGAUUGGCACAUGGACAGCGUGUUAUGUUAAGAUAUCCUUAUCUUAGAAUCCAGGAGGCCCUCAGAGGUCACAAGGUGAGCAAGCUGGUUCAGAGAGUGAAGAAAUUGUCUGGAUCCCACAAGAUGAGAAAGAAAGAGAGAAAAGUCUAGAAACCUGGUCUCCUGACCCCCAACUAGGUCUCUUUCCAUCCCUCCCACUGUCUCCCCGACGCUGUCCAUGGACAUUGGGAGCGUGGGUGGAUUUGGGGAGCACGAGGCCACUUUCCACUUCCUUGAUGAUGACAUUUCUUAACAGUAGAUGAAUCUUUUCUCGGUCAUUCUGCCUUGUUUUGAUGGCUGUGUCUAAGGAACAGCUUGAGCCUGCCUAACAGUGUGAGUACUGGCCCUCUUGUUUCUGCUGCUUUGGGUGAAAAGAACGGUGGUCUGAGAAAUAGAAAUGGGAGGUUCUUUUUCAAAAUCACAUUUACAAAUUAUUCCUGGGGCUGGCCCAGCAGCGUAGUAGUUUAGUUCAUGCAUUCUGCUGUGGCGGCCCAGGGUUCGCAGUCUUGGAUCCUGGGAGCGGACCUACAUACCACUCAUCAAGCCAUGUUGUGGCAGCAUCCCACGUACAAAAUAGAGGAAGAUGAUCACAGACGUUAGCUCAGAGACAAUCUUCCUCAAGCAAAAAGAGGAAGAUUGGCAACAGAUGUUAGCUCAGGGACAAUCUUUCUCACCAAAAAAAAAAAAUUAUUCUUAUAAAAGCAAUACAUGUCCACUGUACAAAUGAGAAAAUCUAGAUAGAAUACAGCUACUAUAGUGAAAGGAACAAAAAACACCUGUCAUCAUACCACCUGUCACCGUAAGAUACUGUGCUGUGUUUUCUUCCAGGCUCUUUUCUGUGCAUACACACAUGCUCGCUUGUUCACGCCCUUGCUCGCUUCAGCGUAUCGUAGCAGUUAAAAGCGCAGUCUGGCUCCACCACUUGGGCAAGUUAUUUAACUUUCCUGCUAUUGUUUCCUCAUCUGUAAACUAGGGCUUCACGAGAGUGCCUUCCUCAGAGGGUGGUUAAGAGCAGCAAAUAAGCUAAUUCAUGUAGAACACAGCGCCUGGCAAGCAGUAAAGACUGCAGAGGGGUUUUCCUUUACGAUUAUUAUUAUGUACUUAUGUACAAUAGAAACCUGAGAUCAUACGGUAUAUUCUGUAGGAAGUGCAGUUUGUAUGGGGGCCGUUUCUUCUCUGCUUGUGCCCAGCGACUAGAAUAUAAGGCUUUCUUAAACUGCUCCCCCAGACAAGGUCGCAAGGUCAGGCUGAGGCUGCCUGCCUCCUGGCUCAGCACGCCAGGGCUGAAUGAUGAUAAUUAUGUGUUCAUCUUCAAAAGGAUCUGACAGUGUUAACACACAGAUUCCCAUAGCCUGACUCCUGGUGGCGUUUAUCACAUCCAUUUUACAGGAGUGAGAAUGAAGUCUGAGCAGGGACUGACGCGGCUGUACGAGAUCUCCAAGCAGAUGAGGUGGACUCCCUGGCCGGCGAGAAAUGAACAGCGCGGCCCGUGGAAGAGCGUGGGCUGCUGUUGGGCUGGGGUGUUGCCUUUAUCACACCGGAGAUUUAGGCCUGCACUGAGCAAGGGGUGAGGCUGACACCAGGAGACAAGUUCUCAGAGACUGGUCUCUCACGGAAAAGCUCUGAGAGUCUCCUUGAUGUGGGUUUGUGUGUGUGCAUGCAUGUGUGUGUGUAUUACCAUUUUGGUGAUUUUAAGCAUCCUUUUGUGGGAUUCAAACAUUCUGAGAGUGAAAAAUGAUCAUUUUAAGCCAGAUUGGGUAAGGUAGGGUCAUAAAUCAGGAAGGAAGACCAGAUUCUGUCUUUGUGUGUGUACGUACGUGUAUAUGUGUGAGUACACGCACAUGUGUGUGCAUGUACGUGUGUGCAUGUGUGUAUGUGUAUACAUGCACAUUGCGUGUGUGUACCUGUGUGUGUGCGCACAGAGAAGGCGCCAGCAAGCGAGCCUCCUGGGGUGAGUGGGAGGAGCAGAUGUGGGUCUGAGCAAGGGAGCUGGUUUUGAUGAAAUAUUGGCUAACGCUCGGGGCACCGAAGGAGAAGAGGCUCUGGUCAGGGAACUGUGCUGCAUUAGAAUUUAUAAUAGAUUAGCUUAUCUGCCCCUUGAUCUUCAAGGGUAUUUGGGGAGCUGAGGAUGAGCCAUUUCUGCCUUGAUUUUCGCAGUGAGAGGAAACGUCUGAAACAGUAUUCCCAGCCUUUCCCUCUGCACAGCCCAAGGCGGUGAGAGCUUGGUAUUCACACCCCCACUCAGGUCAUUCGGAGGAGGCUGACAGUGCCCAGGAAUGCUGACAUGCUUCAAAACAUCACACAAGAAAGAACCCACUCAGAUUCCUAAGGGGAGUUGCUGUCGGUCCAUCCUGAGCCGGAGUGCAACAUUGGAUGUGAUUGCCAUGGCUCCCCCUCCCGCUGCAGGAGCUCGAAAUCCAUAUUCAUCCACGAUGUCUGCAGGACUCCCCUCUCGCUGUCCAUCUGUCUGUCUGUCUGACUCUCUCUUCCUCGCUCUCUGAGGUAAAGGGUGCUCGCUAUCCUGAAAAGGGGAGCGUGCCAGAAUGUUCCAGAUGAGCUGCUGGCAGCAAUGUUGCUUUAAACACCAAGGAGCUGAAGCGGCCGGGAAAGAAAGAGUGAGGGGUGAAGUGUGGUUUGAUGUCUCGGCGCACUGGGACAUCAUGAUUCAUAUAACAUGAGCUCCUCGGAGUCCUUGAUUAAAUCCUAGCCUAGCACCCCCGGCUGAACUGGAACUCUGAAGUCCAGCCAAGGAGCGUUACUGGUCCUGCCUCAGCAAACAGUUGGUGGGUCACAGGCAAAGAACAGUGGAGGGGUGCUUUUUUCACUGGAAAAAUUACCUGCUGGGAAAGGAGGAAUCAUAUGAUGUGUGUGGGGGGGAAAACCAGCCAGGAAGGACCUGGCUCUCACAUUACAAGGCUGCUUUCUGAAGUCAGAGGGACUUUUUAUUCCCCCCAGAGGCCUGCGGGCCCCAGCCAAAGUGGCUGUGCGUGGCUCUGAAGGGUGUGGUGUUAGGGGCGCUGCACGCUGGGGCUCUGGAUGCCAGGCUGGGAACGGGGAGAGAGGAGAGCUGGGGACGAGGCUUCACUGUCCUCAGACUCACUCUCUUAAGGCGGGAGGGAGGUGAAGAGGAGAGAGAGGCUGCCCUGUUUCCCCUCUAGCCAGGGGACGGGGCCCUCUAUUGCCUCCACUUAGGACUUUCUAUGCAUGGAGUUCCCUCUCUCCCUUUCUAUGACAUUUCACAUGUCUGGCCACUAUUUCCAUCUCCCGACUCCUUAAAACUUUCCCGUCUCUCACUGUACCCUCUCUCUGCUUCUCCGACAGCCUUCACUCCCUCUUUGCAUGGAAGUUGCAUAAUGAUCUCUCACUUCACGACGCCCCCUUUCCCAAUGCUUAGUUCAUGUCGGUUUGAGCGGGGAGACUUUGGGGCAUGUGACUCAGGACUGGCCAGCAUGUUUGGUUUAAGGAUGGGGCUGUGGAGCCAAGAGGGUCCAAUCAGAGCCAAACCUGGAACUUCUGUUGGAAACUUUUGUUGGAACUUUUGGGAUAGAGAAGUUCUCUUUCAUCUGGGGUUGAUGGGAUGAGAGGAUGAAAGCCUGGAGCUUCCAGGGGCCACGGUGAUGAGAACAUCUGUCUGAAAAUGAUGCCACUGGAAAAGGAAGAACAAAGAGAUGGAUAGAGAUGGAUUUCUGAAGGCAUGAUUUGAGCACCAGGAUCUAAUCAUACCUGAGGUCAGGAUCUAAUCCUGGACUCCUCAGUUAUACUAACUAAGAAAUUUCUCCCUUUUCUUCUUUAUCCAGUUGGAUUUUUUCCUGUUACUUGUAAUUGAAAGUAUUGUAUUUAUAUGUUGGGUCGAUACCCGCUUCUGUCUUUUCUGCAUGGAGUUCCCUCUCUCCCUUUCUGUGAGUCCUCAACUUUCUGUGUCUUCUUUGUUCCCCUUACUCACUCAGGCUUUCCAUCCACUCUUGUGGUGUCAACUAUGACCCCUGUGAGAUUCUCGUGCCCCACUCCCACAUUUGGGCAUCUAGCUUAGAUCUUGUUCUCGUGUCCAGCCAUCUAUAAGACAGUUCUGCAUGUGCCUCAUGCACGUGGACAUGCACAGCUGCCUGAAGUUAAUGUGACUCCUGAUCCUUGGGAAGGAGAGGGCCCCCCUUUUCAACCACCUCCUCUUCAACCCUGGCAUCUGAUCCCCCUGGUUCAAAGCCAGAAUUAUCUUUGAUUCCUUCUUCUCUUCCUUCCUGUCCCCCUAUAUUGAAUCAUCCAUCAAGUCUUCCAAAAUUUCUCUUGUGGAUGUCAUUUUUUUCUCUAUCUACCACCAUCCUCUGGUCUAAAAUCUCAUCAUGAUCAUCUCAAAACCCUCUUACCUGCCUUUCAAAUACUCAUUUCAAACUGUCCCACCCAUCCAGCACACUCCUGCUUGUUUAACUUCCUCAAAUACCUUUCACCUCACAGCUUGCCUGAAGAAACCAGAUUUCUCACUGUUGCGCAUCUCCGGGUCCCUCAGAUGCUGGCAUUCAUGAAGCAUGAGAAGCCACAGGAGCACCCUUCUGGAAUACUAAUUUGACUGCAAGGUUUCUUGGGAUGUGGGAAGUUAAGUGCUUUAACUAGAAAGAAAUUAAAAACAUUUUUAUAUUAAAACAGAUCAAUCUUAUGUAAAGUAGAAUGCAAUACUCACGUGAAUUUUAAAGAUUAAACAUAGAUUUCAAAGACGUUCUGAGACUGUAAAAGUCUACUUUCAGCCACCACCCAAGAGUUCUGGGAUUCUUUUCCCUCUGCCGUUGGGUAGAAAGUUUGAAAAAGCAUCAACAUGUUGAGUCAUUUCUAACCUCCUCGAUCUGGUGUUUCUCUCACCUGGCCCUAUCUUUCGUACCCUCCUCCUUUUCUCUCACUAUUUCCUUGAGGUAGAGGGCUCUUCUGGUUGUUCUUUGAACUCAACACUCUCAUUCCCAACCCUGUUUCAUGCCACCAUAUCCUUUUCCAAGUGAGCUCCUUUCUCUUUUUAUCAGCCUAAAUCGUCUAUCUCUUUCAGGCUUAAUCACCAGCUCACAAUGGUCUCUCCCUUCUGGAAUUCAUAUCAAUACAUGAAUUAUAUGCUGGACAAGAGUCACUCAUCUGCUCAAAACCCUUAAAAGCCUCCUUAUGUUCUGGCUGUGGAAUGAAGUCUAGACUCCUUUGUAUGACACACUGGCUCUUGGCUGAUCUGGACUCUGCCUGAUACUUCAGUCUCAACUGGCCUUGUGACUACCCUUGAUCUUUGCUGUUCAGACUUCAAGAACCGCUGUAGUGUCCCCAAAGCACAGUGGUCACUUUCACCUUAUCUUUAUCCUCUUCAUCUCCUUCUCUUUCUCUUGGCUUUACCCAUUAGGACUCAGCUCAGUCAUAAUGUCCUUCUUGGCCAUCGCUCCAAAGCUAUCAUAGCCCCCUGAGCAGAUCUCCAUCUCAGCAUCAUUUGGAGCAGCCUUUCUUACCUCCCUCUCUGCUGGCCAGAUGGGGAGCUCCUUACUGCAGAAAUAAGCCAUCUUUGUUAUCCCUGCUGUAAUAUUUCUUAAAUGAAUUAAUUAAUGAACAAACAGGAUGUAUCAGGAAACUUAGGAUUUACUUUCUUUCCAUUAUCCAUGUGAUCUUGGGCCUUUCUAAGCUUGUGUAUCAUUUUAUAGUCAAGUCUGUUUCAUACACACAAAUCUUUUGAUCUCUAUUUACCUGAGGGUCCCUGGCAGUAUCAAUAAUUAUACAGAUUGGAGCUGAAAACUGGACCUGGGACUAAGACACAAAUGAAGAAGUGGGGAUCAGCAGAUGAGCAGGACCAAGCUUGCCUCCUUCUCUCCAAGAUGGCACACCUUGCAUAGAAAAACAUCCACAUACUCAGGGUUGGUUUAGGAGCUCUGGGUAAAGGUCAGCAGAGAUACAGUUUUGGGUGAGAUACAGCACAUUUUAUACAGAUUAUUCUGUCCUAGCCCACAAGAAAGCUGUCAAUUAUAUUUUUAGAUUCCAAGAGCUCUUACUUAUUUGCUGAAAAUCCUUUUUUUCCCUACUUUUUCUCCCCAAAUUCCCCCAGUACAUAGUUGCAUAUCUUAGUUGUGGGUCCUUCUAGUUGUGGCAUGUGGGAUGCUGCCUCAGCGUGGCCUGAAGAGCGGUGCCAUGUCCACCCCCAGGAUCCAAAUCAGUGAAACCCUGGGCUGCCGAAGCUGACCGUGCGAACUUAACCACUUGGCCAUGGGGCUGGCCCCUGAAAAUCCUUUUUAUAAGCACUCUGUUCUUGUUUUAUAGAUGUAGAAAUUUCUCUUCUCUCUCUUAGAAUCUUAAUUAUGUUGAUUGUUUAAAAAAAAUAUUUGUUCUGUUCUCUGCCUUGUUUCUAUUUCCUGUGAAUUCCCUUUUUGUCUCUUCCUUUUAGGUUAGUGUUUUCCUCAAGUGCCUAAGAGUAGAAAUUCUUUAUAUUUAUACAUAUUUAAGAAUGAGGGACCAGAAGCUAGUGGAAAAACCCACACAUAGGUGGGAGUGUUGAGUGGUGGACCUCACCAAAUCUGGCUGUGCAUUUGAUGUCAACAGGGUGGGUCUUUUCUACUGGACCUGUCAGUGUCUGCAAUCUCCUGUCCCUUCCUGUCACCUCUCUGAGGUGUGGCAGACAAAGUAGGUGAUGGACUGGGAAGAGGGGUGUCAAACCCUUCUUAAUCUUGUUGUCAGUACGGCAUCUCACUUCUACUCUCUGCUUUACCUGUCUCUAAGUCCAGAGCCCUUCUGGAAUGAUCUAACCACAGUGUAAACCUCUUUUCUUUUGCUUGGAUGUUGGGUAGUUUGUCGGCAUCAUUGGGCUAGAUGAGAGGAUGGGGGUGUGUGUCUACAUUUUCCAUAAAGACGUUCAAUCAAGCUAUUUUCAGCCAUCUAGUCUACCCUUAAAUUCGGAAACACCCAGCGCCUUCAGUUACUGAGACUUUCCAGUGGUUUGUGCUUUGAUCUUGCUUCUUGCUUCUUAGUUUUCAUGCCCACCCACCCCAUCUAGGCUUCAUCUUUACUGACUUUGACAAGCUAUCUCCAAUAGCUUUCUCUUUGUUCUAGAGGAAUGCUUGCUUUUUUUUUUUUUUGUGAGGAAGAUUGUCACUGAGCUAACAUCUGUGCCCAUCUUCCUCUAUUUUGAAUGUGGGACGCCACCACAGCAUGGCUUGAUGAGCGGUGUGUAGGUCUGCACCUGGGAUCCAAACCUGUGAACCCCAGGCCACUGAAACAGAGUGUGUGAACUUAACACUAUGCCACCAGGCCAGCCCAAUUUUAUGUAUUUUUAAAAAAUCAUUUUACUGGUGUUUUAGUGAAGUAUUUUAUUGAAGAAACAGAGACAAAUGCACAUGCUAAUUCUGCCACAUUGAACCAGAAGUUGGGCUGAUUUUCUUUUUAAAAAAAUUUCAUUAUUACUAUACAAAUACUUUUUGGGAUUCAGUUACUAUAUAAAGACUCUCCACAAAGUUUUCCUAUGCUGGUCAGUAUCCUGGGCACUAGAAGUACACUGAGGAUCACCACAGACACUGUCUUUUCUUCACAGUCCUUACAGCCUAGUUAGGGAGAUAGACAGUCAAACAGGAAAGUUACAAGCGAGAGGGGUGCUAUGAAAGGACAAGUUCAUUCAAGGCUUUGUGGAAGAAGGAAUAUCUAAUCUAAGAUGGUUUAGAUAAAUAGGAGUUAGCUAGGUAAAGAGGCAGGAAAGAUGUUCCAGAUAGAAGAACAACCAACAAGGUUUGGAAGAAAGGGGGAGAGAGGCAUAUAUGAAAAAUAAAAUCAAUUUAAAAAUGCUACAGAAAGUGUUGAAGAGAGCGAGCUAUGAAAUUUGGGGCUGGAGAGGUGAGAGGGACCAGAUCAGAUGGGGCUUCACGAGCCCUGAUAUUGGACUUUGUUCUGAGGGCAGUGAGAAGCUACCCGAUGCUGCAAGUACAAUCGUGACUACAUUUGUGCUUUUAUUUGAGGGUGGGGAAUAUUGCUUUGUUUUCUAUUUGUCCCAGUUUUAUCAUUGUUACUCUAUAUAUGUUGAAUCUAUAUUGUGAGGUUCAUAUAUGCCAAUGAUGGUUAUAUGGUUCUUGCUUUAUUGAUCUGGAUUUUUUUUUUUUGUCUUGAAUACCAUUGUCAGAUAUUGAAACUGAGACUCUGGGCUUUGACUCGUAUUUGUCCUGAAUAUUUUUUUCAUCCUUUCACCUUUACGUUUUCUUUUAAUUUCUCUCACAUAUUGUGGAUACUUAUACUAAACAAUUUUUAGCUAACCUGAGAGUCUCUCUCUCUCCUAUGCUUAUAUUUAUUUAUCCCUGUAGCUACCUCAGAUCUAUCUAUCAUCUAUCCAUCCAUCCAUCGUCUAUCUGUUAUUUAUCGUUUGUCAUCCAUCUGUAAUCUUCCCCUGAAAGGACAUGUUAGCACAUUCUCAUGUCUAUUUGGUACCCAUGUCCUUGUUGAUAUUAUUUAAAACUUUUGUUCUGGCUCAUUAUGGAUACACGCUUUCUUUUUUUGCUUCCUGAACUUUUAGACAGCAAUAAAUUCUACUAAAUUAUUUGAAUCCUUUUAUUUCCCAUAUUUCCUUUAGUAAUCUCCUGGAUUUAGUUCUUACCCGAGUUUUCUAAAUAGUUCUUUGUGUGGCAAACUGCUAAAGCUCUGUGUGCUUGAGAUUAUAUCUACUGAGCCCCCAUAUUUAAACCAUAAUUUGGCUGAAUAUAGGAUUCUAUAUUAGAAUUGUUUUUUCCUUUAGGAGUAACAGUUUCCGUGUCUGGUUAUCUAUAUUGAUGGAGGGGAUUGAACCCAGCUCCCUGAAGAGGGGCAGGGGCGAGCUCCAGGGCAGAAUGCUCCAAACACAAAACCGUAGCCCACAGCUCCAACUUUUUUGACUCUCCAUUAGGCCACACUUUUGGUCAGAAUCCUCCCUUAAAUGCUCUGAAAAAGCAACUUGGGAAGGAAACAAUCCCUGUGGAUAAGUUUUUCAAACUCUGGGUGGCAAUCCAUUAACGGAUCAUGAAAUCAACUUAGUGAGUCAGCCAGUAAGGGAAUGGGAGAGAGAGAGAGAGAGAGAGAGAGAGAGAGAAAGAAAGAAAUAGAACAGAACAAAAUAGGUUGAAAAAUAUAGAGGCAUCCCAACAAUAAGCACAUUGUUUUGCGAAAUUUUCCUUCAUUUGUCCAGGCCGUAUAUGUACUGAGUCACCACGUAACUGUAUUUGCUUGUUGAGGGUGUAAGUCAAAAUCAAUUUGAAGAACAAGCUUUUGAUUAUGAUCCACCAAACCCGAAGCGAGGGGGCAUGGAGGAGGUAGAGGAGUGAGUGCUCAAGGCCAGCUGGCCAGUCUGCUUCUUUUCAUCAGUGCCUCACCCCACAGGGUGUUGGCACUGACCUGGGUUUACCCACUCCUGCCUCCCACCUGGCUGAUGCUACUGGCUUCUUUUACACUGUGGGGCAGGUGACUAUCUUCCAAAGGCAAUGUGGGCAAGAGCAGAACUUGAGAGCUGUCCCUCAACCUGUUCUCCAUCGCUUCACCUGAUACCCUCAGCCCAGGUUGGUCCCCACUGAGUAUUCAGCCUACCAAGGGGUUCCCCACAGUUUUUAUGUUAGUCCCCAAAAUCCACUCUUGCUUUUUAUUUCUAUAGUUCUUCUAGAUUGACCGUAUGGGAGAGAGGCAACAGCUGAGUCUUGUUUUCAUCCUGUCAGGAAGCAGAAAACUCAUUCGCAAUCUAACCUAGAGCCACCAUGGGCCUGUGUCCGGCUCUUCAGCAUCCUAUUCCUCUGGCAGCCUUCACCCUCUCUGCACACCACCCCACACGCUCCCACUCAGUAAAUCCUCAUGCUGAGUUCUCCUCCUCCCCCCGUGCACUAUCUAUUUUUACUUCUGCCUUUGCCCGUGAUUAUUGGAAACCUCAGGCUGUAGCCAGCAGGGAAAUUUAUAGCUAAACAAUUACAUUGUUGAAACCCUGACAAGUCCACCCUGGUUAAUGGCUCUGAAAAUAUGGGAGAGGUGAGAACAACUAAAUCUACGAGGCUCCAUAUUGUGGGCCUGCGAAGGUAGAUUUGGAGGACCUGUUUACUUUAACAGGAAUUUUUCAUUUUCUUUUCCCCUUACGUUAUUGUUCCAAACACUAGUCUCACUCAAUAUGGAUUCAUUACCUGGAGAAUGGCCUGGAUAUUUGGAUAAUCAUCUUCUAAAUAGUUUCUUUUUUCCCUUUCCUAUUAUGAUUUUUGGAACUCGGCCAACAACAAUGCAACGGGCAAGCAACAGACUGAGGAAAAAAGCAAACAGCGCUGGGUUGCGUUAGUGAAUGAGCCUAUAUUAGAUGCAGGUGGGAUUGUUCAACGUCCCAGCCUUGCAGAAAGCUUUUAAUAAAAUAGCAGGAGAAGGGAGGAGCUGCUUUUGCAAAGGGGAUGUCAUAGAAUUUGGGGAGGAAAGGGGAAGGCGGGAUAGCUCAAUAGUCAAAAGACAGUGCUGUGGGAAGGGCAGGUAUCGAGUGGGCAAGCCAUCAUGGGUGACCUGCAGAACUGGGCUUCUGCCUUACCAGGGCAGAUCAAAUUAUUGGUCUGAUCCAUCACUCCCUUGUAGCAGUGUUAUCCCUGCACACCUUUUACGUGGUGGUGGUGGGGAGGUACUUGCCCAUCCCUUGACUUCAGGCUUGACUAAGUGAUUUACUUUGGCCUAUAGGGAGUUCAUGGAUUGGAUGUGAGCACAGGCUUGAAAUACACUUGUGAGGUUGGGCUCGCCCUCUUGUGCUCCCACUUUUUGCCAUGGAAAGAACAUGCCUCAGGUAAGUGCUGGUCCAGGGAAGAUCAGAGACAUGUGGAGGAGAUCUAAUGGCAACCCACAGAUUGGAGCGAAGCUCACAGCUAAACCCCUGUCAACUCAUAGAUGUGUGAGUGGGGAAAAAAAAGCUUUUUGUUGAUUUCCACUGAGAUCUUUUUGUAGUUGUUUGUUAUGCAGCAAACCUGACUGAUGCACUCAUUUAAUGGGCUGCUGCUGGAGAAAUGGGACAGGCACCCCCUGCCCUUUUCUGAAUUGCUACCUGAGUUUAAGAAGUGGAGGUGGUUUCAAAGCCCAGGAAAAGUCUAAGCCAUUGCUUUCUGUGGCAAGAUGACCAAUCCAAAUGGCAGCGCCCUCCUCUUCAAGGUAUGGGUCUGGAGGAACAAGCGGAGACACAGUCUCCAGCACUUGCUGAGGUGCAGCAAGGAGAACCAAGGGAUCAGUUCUAGCAAGGAGCAGGGAAACAGCAUUUCCAAAUGUGGCUUACCCUGGGAUGCUGAAGUGAAGGCCGUUGGGUGAUCUGCAUGUAACUGUUCCAAGAUAGAGAAAAAUCUCCCAAGACCUUUUAUGAUCAUGGCUUAGUUAAGAGCGAGCAGGAAUCUGCUUUGCCUCGGCUGAUGUGGCUUCUAAUUCAAUGCUGGAAGUUCCAGUGACUUUGAUUUGACUGAUACCAGGUCUCAAUCUUCAAUACUUAGCACAGUACUAAACAAAUAGAAGAUGUUCAAUAAAUCGACUGAUAAUUGAUAGAUUAUCAGGAAACUUUUAAACCUAAUCACAGAACUGCCAUUAAUUAUGUGACCCCAGACUAAAAGCUUAACCUCUCAGUUCCCUCGUUGAAAUGAGCAUGAAACUACUUGAUGUCCGUGGUCCCCCUAAUUGUUGGAGGAUAAAAAGAGAUGAGGAUGGAAAAAGUCUGCAGUGCUCCAGAAGUGAUGGAAUAUUAUUUCCCCAUAGGUACUGCUGUAUUGCGUGUUUGGUACUUGAGGAGCAAAAAGAAUGCUAAAGCAAGAAUGUAGCCUUGAAGGGGUCAGAAAGAGAUAUUUUCCCUUGUGGUCUCUACAGGAAAAAGGACCAAGCAAUAUUGCUCUGUCCUCUCACCACUGUAAUUUGCGAGGCCAAGUCAGGUCUCUGGGUUAAGAAAUCAAGCUUUUUAUUGCACCUCAAAGUGCAUGCUGGGAGUCCUGGUUUGACCUAUAAUUGUUUUGUAAAAGCUUGUCCUCGAUCGGCUGCAUUGCAGGAUUAAACUAGGAACAUCUCUUGAUCAUAGGCCAUUUGGCUUCUUUUUAAAGAUCCCCAGUGACACGGUGUUAUGGCUUGAAUUGUGUCCCUCCAAAUUCCUAUGCUGAAGUCCUAACCCCUAGGACCUCACAACGUGACCUUAUUUGGAGAUAGGGUCUCGACAGAGACAAUCAAGUUAAAAUGAGUGUGGGUCCCAAUCUGCUAUGAUGGGUGUCUUUAUAAAAUGGAAAAAUAUGGAGACAGACAUUCCUACAAGGAGAGCUCCCCGUGAAGAUGAAGGCAGACAUCAGGGUGAUGCUUCCAUGGGCCAAGGAACACCAAAGAUUGCCAUCAAAGCAGGAGAAGCUCGGAGAGAGGCAUGGAGCAGGUUCUCACAGAAUCAACAGGUUCUGGGAAGGAAUCAACCCUGUGACAAUCAAACUUCUAGCCUCCAGAACUGCGACACCACGAAUUUCUGUUGCUUAAGCCACCCAGUUUUCUCAUAGGAGCCUUAGCCAACCAAUACACAUGGAAUCUCUGUUUAUGAAAAAGUCAGUUCUCUGCAACAAUAGCAAAGACUUAUACAGUGCUUAUGACUUGCCACACAUAGUUCUGAGCAUUUCACUUAUAACUCAUGUAUUCCUCAUAAGAGUACUAUGACGAAGGGGCUCACAGUAUCCUUAUUUUGCAGAUGAGGAAACUGAGGCACAGAGGGUUUCAUCAACCUGCUGAAGGUUACAGAGUCAGUAUGUGGCAGAGCCAGGACAUGAACCCAGGCAGACUGGCUUCAGGGUCUGUCCUCUUGCCUUCCAUGCAUGUGAUAUAGGGCACUUAAUGGUGUCCGCUGAUUCUUAUAGAGAAGUCAAAUCUGCUGCCUUGGUCUUUGCUCUCUGGAGUAACACAGAGUGACUGUAUUUCCAACUCUACAGGAUGACAUCUCCGCUACAUUUAUGCUCCAAAAUAGAAAUAUCAAAGCAUACUCAGACCGAAAGGCCACGCCUUCUUCUAAGCUUGAUCGACCCGAGAUGGGCACCAUCACGUCUCCUUCUCUGCGACCUUCCUAAGGCGACGCAGCAAGUUAAGAAUUCCAGUCUACUCACCUUUUGGGAGUUCUUGGAAGAUCCUCCUUUAUGAGAAACAUUAUUCUACAGCCUGGCAGAGAAAGCGGGGCUAAGCAAGUGUUUUUAGCAAUUAACCCAGGACUCUGGAAUAAUCUUCACCUCUUCAUCUCUGAACCCUAACCUAACAGAAGUACAGAAUUCCAAAGUCUCCGUCUUUUUGAUAGCAGAGUGACUUUUGUCUUCUUAGGGGCAUUUGGGCUCUUCUGCUGCUGCCUUGCUGUGGUCUCCACGCUGCUGCUUGCUGUCCUCAAUCAGUAGCUGCUACUCCUGAUUUUGCUGAUAUGAGAAAUGUCUUUGUUUCUACUAAUUUUAUAGCUCUUAUAACAGGCUCUGCUAAAGUUUCAGGCUAUUUAAAUUUAUUUGUAGCCCUCUCUCUUAAGGAACUUAGAAUCCAUUUUCCUGGGGCUAGGUGGAAGCAUAUCGAGUUACACUCAGAGACACCCCUUCCUACUGACAGUGGACCACUUCCCACGUAAAUUCCAGACACACCAUUAGAGCAAGAUUGUUCUCACCACCUCUUCUGGUAAGCCCAUCGGGUUCAAGAUGGACACUGUCAAUUGUUCACUAGUAGCACUUUCUUCCUUCCUGGCAAAACCCUGAUUGCCGUCAGAUUAUCAACCUCCACACCCCAUGCAGCCCAUUAACUCAAGUGAGGUUCCUUCAAUCCCUAGCUCCAGGGGUAAGUCUUGCCUGGUCCAAGCUCUUCAAAACAGCUCCAUCUCCCUGGCAGGUCAUUUCUUCUGCAACAGGGCUUAGACAAUUCACACUUGAUGGUCUCUGGCAACUACUGGUUCGGGGUGGCCAUGGGGCUUAAGUUGGCCAAAAAAGACUAAAGGGAAGGAUUUUUAUCCACAGUUGGGAGAGAAUUUUUGUCCCUUGCCCACUGAACAUGAACAAGGAAAAAAUAUAGCCCUAGAGCAGAUGAUAGCCAAUUCGCAAUCAUGAAGGAAGCCAGCUUGAAGACAAAGCCAACAUGCGCAGAAGGGCCAAACUGAGAGAUUUCAGAGCAACAGAGCCUGGGGCAUUCCUGCCAGGUGAGGUAAUACAUUUCCUCAUUGUUUACCCCUCUUAGAGUCAAACUCAUUCUAAUUGAUACAGAUCCUUAAGACAAUAGGAAUCUUGGCUUCUCACCAGGUGUGGUGGAGCUCCUGAGGUGGGUUUGCACAGGGAAAGCCCAUGUUUUAAGCGGUGAACUGUUGGCUGUGUUUGUUUAAUGAAACUGAAGUACUUGCUUCUUAUUGAUUAGCUUUUUUAACACUAAUCAGAGAUGCUCACUGAGCUCUCAAAUGACUUCUCCACUGAUCCAGUAUUUUAUCCCAAUUAUUCCACCUAUUUUAAUUAUAUAGUAUGGGUGAUCACACAGUGAACUGGGCACAUCUUAUAAGUGAUAUAUAAGAACCUUAAAAAACCCUCAAAAAUCUGAUGUUGGUUUUGUAAAGCUGUCUAAAUUAUGUUGGAAAAGGGAGACAUUUCAUUUUCAUAUGACUAAAAACAAAAGAAAAAAUAUAUUGUGGCCUUUUGUUUCUAGAUGGUUGCUCUUAGAAAAGGUAGUUGGUGUCUUCCUCACAAAAACGUAAAUAUUCUUGCUAGUAGCGUAUCUCUAGUGGCCUAGAGAACUUGGAGAAUGAAGGAUUUUAUGCUGUAAAAUGGUUAUUUCUGCAUUUCUAAUCAAAUAGCUUAUGAGGAGAUGAAUUAUAUAUGGUUCAAAUUGGUUUGAUGCAGAAUAAAUUCAUUCACAUCUUCGUGCUAGAAAUGACGGGUUUUUACGUUUUAGACAUGAAGUCUCUUUUGUGACUGCCUCACUUUAACGCCUAAGCACUGGUAACCUCAGCUUUCCUGAAUCCCCAGUUCUCUUUGGCUGAUAUAAACUUUCAUCAGUGUUUCUGACCUGGAUGGGGGGUAAUUUGCUUUUUUAGGGCAAAGAAGUGUCAAUUCUUGAAAAGAAUAAACUUUCCUAGUUUCAUUUCAAGUAACUAAUGUGUAACUUCUAGUCUUCCUUUUAGUUGAACUUAUGAGUCUGUGGGGUGUGUUUGUGUGUGUGUGUGUGUGUGUGCUAUGUACACACAUGCGUGAGCUUUUUAUAAACCAGUAGCAAACAACUUAAGAGAUGUGGUCACAUAGAAUGGACUGUGCAUCCUUUUAUUGAGUGAGAAGUAAUAAAUCAUUCUUCUCAGGU
ensembl:lncRNA